UUGCAUGGCCUGCACAGCUUCAGUGAGGCCUCUGACCUGCUACACCAGUAGGUCGAAUUGCUCCAUGCCAACCGUCGUUGCCGGAGGAGGAGGUAGAGGCCGGGAGACUGGAGGUGAGGCUGGAGCCUGAGAUCUGGCCGCAGAGGUCGUGGAUCGCCGUGUGGAUGCUUUGCGGGGAGGCAUCGGGCGAAGAUCAAGUGGGGGAAGGAGGAGUGGAUGUCGGAGAAGAUGACC
rnacentral:lncRNA from 1 species